GGGGGCAACCGUCUCCGGCGUGCGCAUGCGCGUCGCGGCGCCCCCUGGCCGCGCUUGGCCGCCAAUGCAGCUCAAGCUGGGGACGUGCGGAAGACCCUCUGUGGAUGGCAAGAGAAUAUCUCCUCCCUCUCUAAGGCACAUGCCACAUGCGACUUGAGCGAUGCCGUGUCAAGGGAUUGCAUCAGAUCUGGAACAAGACCAAAGACUGAAGAUGUUGAAAAACAAAGGAAGCAGAGGAGAAAAGGACAGGAAGAGCUAGAAAAUACAACCUAAAUCAAGUCAGUCCUCUCCAUCCUGUC